rnacentral:rRNA from 1 species
AUUGAACGCUAGCGGUAUGCUUUACACAUGCAAGUCUAACGAUUGGCGGACUGGUGAGUAAUAUAUCGGAACGUGCCCAGUAGCGGGGGAUAACUACUCGAAAGAGUGGCUACUACCGCAUACUAUUGGAGCGGCCGAUAUGGGAUUAGCUAGUUGGUGGGGUAAAGGCUCACCAAGGCCACGAUGCGUAGCUGGUUUGACAGGACGACCAGACACACUGGGACUGGGACACGGCCCAGACUCCUACGGGAGGAAGCAGUGGGGAAUUUUGGACAAUGGGGGAAAGCCUGAUCCAGCCAUCCCGCGUGUAUGAGAAGGCCUGCGGGUUGUAAAGUACUUUUGGCGGAGAAGCGGUAUCUGAAGAAGAAGCACCGGCUAACUACGUGCCAGCAGACGCGGUAAUUC